AGUCGAACGCUAUUUAUAGAGUGGCGCACGGGUGAGUAACGCGUGGGAACCUGCCUUUCUCUGUGGGAUAACGGUUGGAAACGACCGCUAAUACCGCAUACGCCCUACGGGGGAAAGGUCCGCCGGAGAAAGAGGGGCCCGCGUCUGAUUAGCUAGUUGGUGGGGUAAUGGCCUACCAAGGCGACGAUCAGUAGCUGGUCUGAGAGGAUGAUCAGCCACACUGGGACUGAGACACGGCCCAGACUCCUACGGGAGGCAGCAGUGGGGAAUAUUGGACAAUGGGGGCAACCCUGAUCCAGCAAUGCCGCGUGUGUGAUGAAGGCCCUAGGGUUGUAAAGCACUUUCACUGGUGAAGAUGAUGACGGUAGCCAGAGAAGAAGCCCCGGCUAAAUCCGUGCCAGCAGCCGCGGUAAUACGGAUGGUGCGAGCGUUAAUCGGAAUUACUGGGCGUAAAGCGCGCGUAGGCGGCUAAGUCAGUCAGAAGUGAAAGCCCCGGGCUCAACCUGGGAAUUGCUUUUGAUACUGCUUAGCUAGAGUUUGGUAGAGGAUAGUGGAAUUCCAGGUGUAGCGGUGAAAUGCGUAGAUAUCUGGAGGAACAUCAGUGGCGAAGGCGACUGUCUGGACCAAAACUGACGCUGAGGUGCGAAAGCGUGGGUAGCAAACAGGAUUAGAUACCCUGGUAGAAGGGC
rnacentral:rRNA from 1 species